CAGUCGCCGCGGUAAUACGGAGGGUGCAAGCGUUAAUCGGAAUUACUGGGCGUAAAGCGCACGCAGGCGGUUUGUUAAGUCAGAUGUGAAAUCCCCGAGCUUAACUUGGGAACUGCAUUUGAAACUGGCAAGCUAGAGUCUUGUAGAGGGGGGUAGAAUUCCACGUGUAGCGGUGAAAUGCGUAGAGAUGUGGAGGAAUACCGAAGGCGAAGGCAGCCCCUUGGGAAUGUACUGACGCUCAUGUGCGAAAGCGUGGGGAGCAAACAGGAUUAGAUACCCGAGUAGUCCCUGUCUCUUAUAU
rnacentral:rRNA from 1 species